rnacentral:rRNA from 1 species
AAUAGAUACCCAGGUAGUCCACGCCGUAAACGAUGAGUGCUAGGUGUUGGGGGGUACCACCCUCAGUGCCGAAGCUAACGCAUUAAGCACUCCGCCUGGGGAGUACGGUCGCAAGACUGAAACUCAAAGGAAUUGACGGGGGCCCGCACAAGCAGUGGAGCAUGUGGUUUAAUUCGAAGCAACGCGAAGAACCUUACCAAGACUUGACAUCCCGCUGACCGGUUUAGAGAUAGACCUUCCCUUCGGGGCAGCGGCGACAGGUGGUGCAUGGUUGUCGUCAGCUCGUGUCGUGAGAUGUUGGGUUAAGUCCCGCAACGAGCGCAACCCCUAAAUUGUGUUGCCAUCAUUCAGUUGGGCACUCACAAUUGACUGCCGGUGACAAACCGGAGGAAGGCGGGGAUGACGUCAAAUCAUCAUGCCCCUUAUGUCUUGGGCUACACACGUGCUACAAUGGGCGGUACAAAGGGUUGCAAUGCCGCGAGGCGGAGCCAAUCCCAAAAAGCCGCUCACAGUUCGGAUUGCAGG